rnacentral:rRNA from 1 species
UACGUAGGGGGCGAGCGUUGUCCGGAUUUAUUGGGCGUAAAGAGCGUGUAGGCGGCCAGGUAGGUCUGCUGUGAAAACUCGAGGCUCAACCUCGAGACGUCGGCGGAAACCAUCUGGCUAGAGUCCGGAAGAGGAGAGUGGAAUUCCCGGUGUAGCGGUGAAAUGCGCAGAUAUCGGGAAGAACACCCGUGGCGAAGGCGGCUCUCUGGGCCGAUACUGACGCUGAGGAGCGAAAGCGUGGGGAGCGAACGAGG